rnacentral:lncRNA from 10 species
GUAUUCAGUGUGACUGCCCAGCAGUCACGGGCUCUAGGCCUGGUCAGACCUGCUCCCUUCCUCAGUCGAGGGGAGAGAGGUGCAUCCAUCCCCAGCGGGGCACCCGCUGCAGCUCCGGUACCCCAGCCAGCUCCAGGCCGGGUGCCCAUUGCAGCUUCGGUACCCCAGCCAGCUCCAGCACGGCAGGUGCCCUGUCUCCGUGGCCCGCUACCAAAGAAGAGACAACAUCCAGCAGCAGCCACUCCCGCAGGACUCCAGGGAACAAGGAUGGAAUGAGAAUUGAGAAGCAGAGCUGAGCUGUGACUCAAGCACCGGGCUGGCUGCCACACAGCAUCCCUGUGACACUCAGAUGCCAGCUAACGUGUUCUAAUAAAACUAACCAGUCACAUCGGUCAAACCCUACCUUGAUCCGGUGAUGGGCCCCUGCCCACCCCAAAAUUUCCCGCGUGUUCAUGAAAGACGACUAACUCCAGAACGGAACAUGACGCACGUGCCGAGACAUCAGCAUUGAGUAAGCACCCGCUGUGGGCCAGGCCCGGUCUCAGGACAGCUGCGCGCCCUCCAGACUCCACGGUCCUACAGACAAUGAAUAUUAUGCAACCAAAAUGUCCUGGGAAUUCAGAGCCAAAGGCAGCAUUCUUAGGAAAUGCCUCCCACUCUCCUGCCAUGGCAUAGAGCUCUGCUGGGCUCUG